GUAGGGUGCAAGCGUUAAUCGGAAUUACUGGGCGUAAAGCGUGCGCAGGCGGUUGUGCAAGACAGAUGUGAAAUCCCCGGGCUCAACCUGGGAAUUGCAUUUGUGACUGUACGGCUAGAGUGUGUCAGAGGGGGGUAGAAUUCCACGUGUAGCAGUGAAAUGCGUAGAGAUGUGGAGGAAUACCGAUGGCGAAGGCAGCCCCCUGGGAUAACACUGACGCUCAUGCACGAAAGCGUGGGGAGCAAACAGGAUUAGAUACCCUGGUAGUCCCACGCCCCUAAACGAUGUCAACUAGUUGUCGGGUCUUAAUUGACUUGGUAACGCAGCUAACGCGUGAAGUUGACCGCCUGGGGAGUACGGUCGCAAGAUUA
rnacentral:rRNA from 1 species